rnacentral:rRNA from 1 species
UCUUCGUGGGGUGACUGCGUACCUUUUGUAUAAUGGGUCAGCGACUUAUAUUCAGUGGCAAGGUUAACCAUUUAGGGGAGCCGUAGGGAAACCGAGUCUUAACUGGGCGUUUAGUCUCUGGAUAUAGACCCGAAACCGAGUGAUCUAGCCAUGGGCAGGUUGAAGGUUGAGUAACAUCAACUGGAGGACCGAACCGACUAAUGUUGAAAAAUUAGCGGAUGAC